AACCUCAUCAACCAGAUGGGAUUCCUUCUGGUCAAUGAGGUAUAACAACCUCAUUGACCAGAAGGGAUUCCUUCUGGGGUAUAACAACCUCACUGACCGGAAGGAAUUCCUUCCAAUCAAUGAGGUGUUAUAACAAACUCAUUGACCAGAAGGAACUUGUUCCAAUUGAUGAGGUG
rnacentral:miRNA from 1 species